rnacentral:rRNA from 1 species
GAUGAACGCUGGCGGCGUGCCUAAUACAUGCAAGUCGAGCGAACAGACGAGGAGCUUGCUCCUCUGACGUUAGCGGCGGACGGGUGAGUAACACGUGUAUAACCUACCUAUAAGACUGGGAUAACUUCGGGAAACCGGAUCUAAUACCGUAUAAUAUAUUGAACCGCAUGGUUCAAUAGUGAAAGACGGUUUUGCUGUCACUUAUAGAUGGAUCCGCGCCGCAUUAGCUAGUUGGUAAUGUAACGGCUUACCAAGGCGACGAUGCGUAGCCGACCUGAGAGGGUGAUAGGCCACACUGGAACUGAGACACGGUCCAGACUCCUACGGGAGGCAGCAGUAGGGAAUCUGCCGCAAUGGGCGAAAGCAUGACGGAGCAACGCCGCGUGAGUGAUGAAGGUCUUCGGAUCGUAAAACUCUGUUAUUAGGGAAGAACAAAUGUGUAAGUAACUAUGCACGGCGUGACGGUACCGAAUCAGAAAGCCACGGCUAACUACGUG